rnacentral:rRNA from 1 species
GGGCGGGGACCCCCUACACAUGCAAGUCCGAGCGGGAACAAGCCCAGCUUGCUGGCCGGUGUCGAGCGGCGGACGGGUGAUUAAUGCAUAGGAAUCUGCCCGAUAGUGGGGGAUAACCUGAGGAAACUCAGGCUAAUACCGCAUACGUCCUACGGGAGAAAGCAGGGUCCCUUCCCACCUUGCGCUUUCGCAUGAGCUUAUGUCGCAUUAUCUGGUUGGUGAGGUUCUGCCUCACCAAGGCCCCGAUCUGGACCGGGACUGAGAGGAUGAUCAUCCACAUCGAGACUGAGACACAGCUCGUACUCCUACCGGAGGCAGCAAUGGGGAAUAUUGGACAAUGGGGGCAACCCUGAUCCACCCAUGCCGCGUGUAAGAAGAAGGCCCUCGGGUUGCUAGCAAUUACAAUGAGGAAGAAAGGUUGUCGGUUAAUACCCAGCAAGGACGACAUCCCUCGAAGAAGAAGCACCGUCCAACUCCGUGCCAGCAGCCGCGGUAAGGCGGAGGGUGCUAGCGUUAAUACUGGG